rnacentral:rRNA from 1 species
UACAGAGGGUGCGAGCGUUAAUCGGAAUUACUGGGCGUAAAGCGCGCGUAGGUGGCGACGUAAGUCGGGUGUGAAAGCCCCGGGCUCAACCUGGGAAUUGCAUUCGAAACUGCAUUGCUGGAGUACGGAAGAGGAGGGCGGAAUUCCCGGUGUAGCGGUGAAAUGCGUAGAUAUCGGGAGGAACAUCAGUGGCGAAGGCGGCCCUCUGGUCCAGUACUGACACUCAAGUGCGAAAGCGUGGGGAGCAAACAGG